CAAACACGUGUACAAGUUAUACCCACACAUACAAACACGUGUACAAGUUAUACCCACACAUACAAACACGUGUACAAGUUAUACCCACACAUACAAACACGUGUACAAGUUAUACCCACACAUACAAACACGUGUACAAGUUAUACCCACACAUACAAACACGUGUACAAGUUAUACCCACACAUACAAACACGUGUACAAGUUAUACCCACACAUACAAACACGUGUACAAGUUAUACCCACACAUACAAACACGUGUACAAGUUAUACCCACACAUACAAACAUGUAUAGGUUAUACCCACACAUAGAAACACGUGUACAAGUUAUACCCACACAUAGAAACACGUGUACAAGUUAUACCCACACAUACAAACAUGUGUACAAGUUAUACCCACACAUAUAGUUGUAUGAUUUACACGACAAAUACAACUUUGUGUGUAGUUAUUGUUAAAAAAGAAAAGAAUCAUUACAUUUAAAAGAAAUUUGAAAAAAAGAGGAUAAUUCUGUGAUCUUAACUGAGAAUGGAUUUUUUUUAUUCAAGAAUAUUUUUUCUUUUUAAAAGGAUUGUUCAAUAAAUAUUUUUAAAGCUUGAAAUUGUUUAUUGAGAAAAAAAUGUUGAACAAUAAUGCUUUGUUAUAUUGAGAUGAUUUUAAUACUUUUUAAAUUGAAAGGAAAAAAGUUCUUCAUCAAGCAAAUUAGUCUGUUUUCAUGCCUGUGUAUGUACUGUAUGAUUAUUGUAUGUUUAAUCAGUGCGAUAGUUCCCCAAUCUGUUUGUGUAAUACACUGUAUUGAAAUACAAUGUAAUACAAUGUACUGUAGUAAAAUAUAAUACAAUGUAUUCUAGUACAAUGUAAUACAAUAUAUUACAUUACAAUGUAAUACAUUGUAGUCUUGUAGGUUGAAAUAGUAAAAACAAGAACAAUGUAAUACAUUGUAUUCAGUACAUUGUUAUGUUGUGUUUCCAUUAAAAAUCCAAUCUUUCUUCUAGAAUAAUGCAGUAAAUUGUGAUGUACUACGUAUUCAUAUUGUGGAGCAUGUAAUAAAAAAGUUGAUCCUACA